rnacentral:rRNA from 1 species
GAUGAACGCUGGCGGCGUGCCUAAUACAUGCAAGUCGAGCGAACAGACGAGGAGCUUGCUCCUUUGACGUUAGCGGCGGACGGGUGAGUAACACGUGGGUAACCUACCUAUAAGACUGGGAUAACUUCGGGAAACCGGAGCUAAUACCGGAUAAUAUUUCGAACCGCAUGGUUCGAUAGUGAAAGAUGGCUUUGCUAUCACUUAUAGAUGGACCUGCGCCGUAUUAGCUAGUUGGUAAGGUAACGGCUUACCAAGGCAACGAUACGCAGCCGACCUGAGAGGGUGAUCGGCCACACUGGAACUGAGACACGGUCCAGACUCCUACGGGAGGCAGCAGUAGGGAAUCUUCCGCAAUGGGCGAAAGCCUGACGGAGCAACGCCGCGUGAGUGAUGAAGGUCUUCGGAUCGUAAAACUCUGUUAUUAGGGAAGAACAAACGUGUAAGUAACUGUGCACGUCUUGACGGUACCUAAUCAGAAAGCCACGGCUAACUACGUG